rnacentral:rRNA from 1 species
UACGGGGGGAGCAAGCGUUGUUCGGAUUUACUGGGCGUAAAGGGCGCGUAGGCGGUAGCACAAGUCAGUUGUGAAAUCUCCGGGCUUAACUCGGAAAGGUCAACUGAUACUGUGCGACUAGAGUGCAGAAGGGGCAACUGGAAUUCUCGGUGUAGCGGUGAAAUGCGUAGAUACCGAGAGGAACACCUGCGGCGAAGGCGGGUUGCUGGGCUGACACUGACGCUGAGGCGCGAAAGCCAGGGGAGCGAACGGG